rnacentral:rRNA from 1 species
UACGGGGGGGGCAAGCGUUGUUCGGAAUUACUGGGCGUAAAGGGCGCGUAGGCGGUCUGCUAAGUUGGAUGUGAAAACUCUGGGCUUAACCCAGAGCCUGCAUUCAAUACUGACAGGCUAGAGUUCUGGAGGGGAUAGCGGAAUUCCUGGUGUAGCGGUGAAAUGCGUAGAUAUCAGGAGGAACACCGGUGGCGAAAGCGGCGCACUGGACCAUAACUGACGCUGAGGCGCGAAAGCUAGGGGAGCAAACAGG